GGGGGUGUUUUAGAUUCGAUGCUGUAUGGGUUGGCAUUAUAAGCAUACCGAAGGCUCGGCUUCGUAAAAACGGAAAUGUUUCAAAAGAAACGACAACAACAAAUCUUUUGCGUUGGCUGCUUAAUGCGCCGACUGUCAAAUGCUUGUAGACUCAUCGACGGGCAAUUUGGCAUCAUUUUAGGAUGAGGAACCGAGUUUCGCAACGCCGUUAGCGAAAAACGGAACUUAACGGCUUGGAAAGGUUAGCGUGUCUGUGUGCGAACCCCCACGACAAUCAAUUGCAGAAUAAGUAUGUAGAAAGUGGUGUGGGCCCUAUGGUAGACCGGGGUGCAAGUCCCCGCAUCUCCACCA
rnacentral:tmRNA from 1 species